ACGUUGGCGGCGUGCUUUACACAUGCAAGUCCAUGGGAAAGGUUGUCUUCNGGACGGCCGAGUAUACUGGCGAACGGGUGAGUAACGCGUAGGUAACUUGCCUAUCAGUCUGGGAUAACACUGCUAACGCGGUGCUAAUACCGGGUAUACUGCAUAGAUCGCAUGUAUUUUGCAGGAAAGCGGGCCUCUGGAACAAGCUCGUGCUGAUAGAUAGACCUGCGUCCCAUUAGUUAGUUGGUAGGGUACACGGCCUACCAAGGCAGCGAUGGGUAGCCGGCCUGAGAGGGUGACCGGCCACACUGGGACUGAGAUACGGCCCAGACUCCUACGGGAGGCAGCAGUGAGGAAUAUUGCGCAAUGGACGAAAGUCUGACGCAGCAACGCCGCGUGAGGGAUGAAGCUUUUCGGAGUGUAAACCUCUGUUAGGAGGGAAGAACGUCUAUUAUUCGAACAGGGUGAUAGAGUGACGGUACCUCCAGAGAAAGCCCCGGCUAACUCCGUGCCAGCAGCCGCGGUAAUACGGGGGGGGCGAACGUUGUCCGGAAUUAUUGGGCGUAAAGGGCGCGUAGGCGGGAAGGUCAGUCAGAGGUGAAAGCUUGUGGCUUAGCUGCAAGUUUGCCUUUGAUACUGCCAUUCUUGAGUUCGGAAGACGGACGUGGAAUUCCUGG
rnacentral:rRNA from 1 species